rnacentral:rRNA from 1 species
GACGAACGCUGGCGGCGUGCUUAACACAUGCAAGUCGAACGGUGAAGCGCCUUCCUUUUGGUGGGUGUGGAUGAGUGGCGAACGGGUGAGUAACACGUGAGUAACCUGCCCCCUUCUUCUGGAUAACCGCAUGAAAGUGUGGCUAAUACGGGAUAUUCUGGGUCUGUCGCAUGGCGGGUCUGGGAAAGAUGCGCCUUUGGGUGUUUUCGGUGGGGGAUGGGCUCGCGGCCUAUCAGCUUGUUGGUGGGGUGAUGGCCUACCAAGGCGGUGACGGGUAGCCGGCCUGAGAGGGUGGACGGUCACACUGGGACUGAGACACGGCCCAGACUCCUACGGGAGGCAGCAGUGGGGAAUAUUGCACAAUGGGCGCAAGCCUGAUGCAGCGACGCCGCGUGAGGGAUGGAGGCCUUCGGGUUGUAAACCUCUUUCGCCAGUGAAGCAGGCCUGCUCCUUGUGGGUGGGUUGACGGUAGCUGGAUAAGAAGCGCCGGCUAACUACGUGCCAGCAGCCGCGGUAAUACGUAGGGCGCGAGCGUUGUCCGGAAUUAUUGGGCGUAAAGAGCUCGUAGGCGGCUGGUCGCGUCUGUCGUGAAAUCCUCUGGCUUAACUGGGGGCUUGCGGUGGGUACGGGCCGGCUUGAGUGCGGUAGGGGAGACUGGAACUCCUGGUGUAGCGGUGGAAUGCGCAGAUAUCAGGAAGAACACCGGUGGCGAAUGCGGGUCUCUGGGCCGUCACUGACGCUGAGGAGCGAAAGCGUGGGGAGCGAACACG